rnacentral:misc_RNA from 1 species
UUUCCGUAGGUGAACCUGCGGAAGGAUCAUUAAUGAGUUGUCAUGGGGUUCGAUGCUGGCAGCCAAUUUUUGGAUGCAUGUGCUUGCCCUAACAAUCAUCUUCCAAACACCUGUGCACAUUUUUGAGGGAGUCUUGAGUUGGUUGCCGCUCUUGGGUGAUUUUCUCACAUUCCCUUAAAUCAUUAUACGCUAUUAACAAUGUUGAACGUGCUCUGAGCCGCAAGGCUAUUAAUAUAAUACAACUUUUAACAACGGAUCUCUUGGCUCUC